UCUCUCUGCUUCCUUUUGUCAGUCCACAACUGUUCUAAUUACACUGCAGCUCACUUGCUCAGUGUGCUGCAUAUGCUCACCAGUCAGCUCGCUUAUUUUUUACAGAGUGUGAACCCUCUGUACUCUGGCCAGUAAAGCAGGAGAAUGUUCCACAUGAUGCAGUAUAUAUUAUGCAAUAGAAUAAUGGACUUGUAUGUUUCUGCGAAGGAGGAAGCUUAGCUUGCAAGAGAACCAAAAAUCAAAGUGCCAUUCCCACGUGACAGCCAUAUACCCCAGCAGUACUCCAGCAGUAAAAGAAAAGGGUUCUAAUGAUGGGCCUAACAAGAAAAGAAACACGUAGAUUCUCUAAGCGCAUCUCCAACAAAGGUGGCUAGAGCAAAGGAGGUGAGCACGCGUGUGUUGGUCCAAGGGCCAUCGAGCACCUCGAGAUUGUACACUGCGCUCCGGUGAUUGGCGUCCAUGGCGUUGAUGAGGAGCCGGAAUGUGAAGACGGGCCCCUAGGACAGCUGGGAGCCGGUCAA